UGCUGUCUUUACAUGGUUGUUGAAUGUU
rnacentral:sRNA from 1 species